rnacentral:rRNA from 1 species
AAUAGCCCCAACAGCUAGCCCUCCCCCUAAAAACCAACAACCAACAUUAACUAACCCCUCAAUAACUUAAAUAAAGUAAAACAAAUCAUUUUUCCACCCGAGUAUGGGAGACAGAAAAGGUAAACCCGGCGCCAUAGAAAAAGUACCGCAAGGGAAAGCUGAAAGAGAACUGAAAGAACCCAGUAAAGGGAACAAAAGCAGAGAUAUACCCUCGUACCUUUUGCAUCAUGAUUUAGCAAGUACUGCCCAAGCAAAGAGACCUUUAUGUUUGGCACCCCGAAACUAAGCGAGCUACUCCAAGACAGCCUACAUAGGGCAAACCCAUCUCUGUGGCAAAAGAGUGGGAAGAGCUUUGAGUAGAGGUGACAAACCUACCGAGCCUAGUUAUAGCUGGUUGCCUGGAAAAUGAAUAGGAGUUCAGCCUUUAAUCAUUCUUACGCCAAACAAGGUAACCCCUCACUCCGGCCAUAAGAUACCCUAAAGAGUUAUUCAAAAGAGGGACAGCUCUCUUGAAAAAAGACACAACUUUUCCAGAAGGUAAAAGAUUAUUACACCUAAAGGUAAACGCACCCAAGUGGGCCUAAAAGCAGCCAUCCCUAAAGAAAGCGUUAAAGCUCAAGUACAAACUUCCCCACAAUCCCAACAAAAAUAUCUUCUACCCCUAAAACCUACCAGGCCAAUCCAUGCAAACAUGGAUAAGACCAUGCUAAAAUGAGUAAUAAGAGGGCUAAGGUCCUCUCAAAAGCACCCCCGUAAAUCAGAUCGAACCCCCACUGAAUAUUAACGCCCCCAAUCCAAGAGGGAAAUGAACAACUUAACCUAAAACCAAGAAAAACCCCCAGAACCAGCCAGCGUUAACCCUACACAGGAGUGCCCAAAUUGAAAGACAAAAAGGAAAAGAAGGAACUCGGCAAACACUAGCCUCGCCUGUUUACCAAAAACAUCGCCUCUUGCCCAAACAAUAUAAGAGGUCCCGCCUGCCCUGUGACGAAAGUUUAACGGCCGCGGUAUUUUGACCGUGCGAAGGUAGCGUAAUCACUUGUCUUUUAAAUAAAGACCUGUAUGAAUGGCAUAACGAGGGCUAAGCUGUCUCCUUUCCCCAGUCAAUGAAAUUGAUCCACCCGUGCAGAAGCGGGUAUAUUAACAUAAGACGAGAAGACCCUAUGGAGCUUAAGACACCAGAACAGAUCACGUCAAAACACCCGAAUUACCAGGAACAAACCAAAUGACCACUGUUCCCCUGUCUUUGGUUGGGGCGACCGCGGAGUAACGAAUAACCCCCACGUGGAAUGGGUUUAUACCCCUAAAGCCAGGGCCACAGCCCUAGCAAACAGAAAAUCUGACCAUCAAGAUCCGGCAAAGCCGAUCAACGGACCCAGUUACCCUAGGGAUAACAGCGCAAUCCCCUUCUAGAGCCCAUAUCGACAAGGGGGUUUACGACCUCGAUGUUGGAUCAGGACAUCCUAAUGGUGCAGCCGCUAUUAAGGGUUC